ACCCAUGAAUGAUAUCCAAGUCCAAAUUAAUGAGAACAUAAGAAUGCUAGCCAAACUCAAAGAUAGGUGGGCUAGAGAAAAGGAAGAGGAAGAGAGAAUUAAGAACCUUCCUACACACACUAUCAUUGCUACUAUACAAAUUGUUGAGGAUCAUUUGGCUCCUUUAUCCAGGAUUUUAUGUGGUGGAGGAAGAGGGAAAGUAACUUUUCCUGGCCCCACCUAACUCUAAUCCGAAUAAGCACCUCUUGGGUGGGUUAGUUCUUUUGGAUGGGUUAGAUGCAUCUAACCAACUCUAACCCUCCUGUUUUGAUGUUUUGAGGUUAGUUCAGUCCAAUCUAACCAACUCUAACUCUAACCCAUGAAUCCAAACAAAGCCAUAAAUUACGCCACGUCACCGCAUGCAUGCAUGUGGGAAUAUUUUUCGAUUUCCAAUAUUUAAAAUGUUUUAUCUCUUAAAUAAAAAAUCUGAGUGAAGAUUCGUUUUCACCAGUAAAUCCAUCGCGACGAGAUUCCAAACUAGAUCUCAUGUCACUAUGUUUCAAUGACUUUUUUUGGGUUCAAAGUUGCCACGUCUAUUGCACAUGAAUUGUCAUGAUGUUUACACAAAAAUUGCCAUGAUAUAUUCCAGCUAUUUUUUAUUCUACCUUUAAAAGGAAUUUUUGACAUAUUAUAAAAUGGAGAAUUAAGAAACUAGACUUGCAAUGAACCAUAAACUAAAAUUGCCAUGCUGAAUUACUUUUUUUAACAGUACACACAAACGCUCAUACAUACACGCAUACACUCACAUGAUGAAUUACUUAAAUUUUCCAUGAUACAUGCACUUAAAUUUGCCAUGGUUCAUAAAAAUAAUAAUUUCUAUGGUCAAAUUAGUGGAAUUGUCAUGGUCAAAAUAGUGCCAUGAUUUAUAAACUAAAUUUGACAUGAUGGAUUACUAAAAGUUGCCAUGAUCCAUGCAUUAAAUUUGUCGUUGUUAAUUAC
rnacentral:lncRNA from 1 species